rnacentral:rRNA from 1 species
AAUAGAUACCCAGGUAGUCCACGCCGUAAACGAUGGAUGCUAGCUGUUAUGCGUAUCGACCCGUGUAGUAGCGAAGCUAACGCGUUAAGCAUCCCGCCUGGGGAGUACGAACGCAAGUUUAAAACUCAAAGGAAUUGACGGGGACCCGCACAAGCGGUGGAGCGUGUUCUUUAAUUCGAGGCUAAGCGAAGAACCUUACCAGGGCUUGACAUCCUUGGAAUUUCUCCGAAAGGAGAGAGUACUUUAUUGGACCAAGUGACAGGUGCUGCAUGGCCGUCGUCAGCUCGUGUCGUGAGAUGUUUGGUUAAGUCCAUUAACGAGCGCAACCCUUAUGAAUAGUUGUAUUUUUCUAUUCAGACUGCCCCGGUAACGGGGAGGAAGGGGGGAUAAUGUCAGGUCAGUAUUGCCCUUACGCCCUGGGCUAGAAACGCGCUACAAUGGCCGGUACAAUGCGCUGCCAACCCGCGAGGGGGAGCAAAUCGCAUCAAAGCCGGUCCCAGUUCGGAUAAGAGGCUGAAACUCGCCUCUUGAAGCCGGAAUCGCUAGUAAUCGU